GACUAAAUGAACAGUGUGGAAAAAUGACCAUUUUGCCCUUCUGUUUGUCUAGAAGUAAUAAAUGAUGUAUGUUUGGAGUAAGUGUUUAUAAAACAAAGAUUGUUUCAUUUCUUCUUCUUUCUUGACUAAAUGAACAGUGUGGAAAAUGACCAUUUUACCCUUCUGUCUGUAUAGAAGUAAUAAAUGAUGUAUUUUUGGAGUAAGUGUUUAUAAGCGAAGAUUGUUUCUUUUCUUUUUUUUUUUUUUACUAAAUGAACAAUGUGGAAAAUGACCAUUUUACCCUUUUGUCUGUCUAGAAGUAAAUAAAUGAUGUAUGUUUUGAGUAAGUGUUUAUAAACAAAGAUUGUUUCUUUUUUUGGACUAAAUGAACAGUAUCAAAGAUGACCAUUUUACCCUUUUAUCGGUCUAGAAGUAAUAAAUGAUGUAUGUUUGGAGGUAAGUUUUUAUAAACAAAGAUUGUUUUUUAUUUACUAAAAGCACAGUGUAGAAAAUGACCAUUUUACCCUUCUGUCUAUCUAGAAGUAAUAAAUGAUGUAUGUAUGGAGUAAAUGUCUAUAAACAAAGAUUGUUUGUUUUUUUUUACUAAAUGACCAUUUUACCCUUCUGUCUGUCUAGAAGUAACACUGAAUAACACUUGAUUGUUUAUUUUGGAGAAUCAUAAACAACCACAACAAAAUAAAUAAAUAAAUAAAUAAAUAAAUAAAAUUAAAAAUUAAAAAGGAAACAGCAUCUUAC
rnacentral:lncRNA from 1 species